UUUACACAGAGCUUGCUCUUUUUAGAAUUCCUCCCUGAUAAUUGGGGACAGCGUACGGAUAUUGGAAGACGUUGACAAAUUGAAACUUGCUUUAAAAGAACACUGGACCGAUGAUAUGACAAACCUAAUCGGUUUGGUUGGUAAAAUUACGCAUAUUUAUACAGACGGUUACAUCGAUGUAGAUUUUGGAAGCAAAUCAUAUAUGUUCCCAACUACCUGCUGCGAAAAUGUCAAGGUGCAGCAGCAACGAACAGAUGCCAUGACUAAAAACGCACCAUCCACAAGCAUUCGCAGAGAUACGACUGACCACCCCGCUGCUGACCGAAGUGCAUUUAUAGAAAGAAGCGCACAUGCUCUUCGUCACGUGUUGGACCACCUCCAGACACUAUAUCCAUCAAUAUCAGAUGUGCCGCCAUGUUUGCUAUAUCGCGCAGCCGCCGAAAACAAGCCAGAACUUGCUUUUAUUUAUGCAAUCGCAUUUCGACAUUUGGUAUAUCCGUUAGCUUUUAUAUUGUGGAAAACUG